rnacentral:rRNA from 1 species
UUGGAGAGUUUGAUCCUGGCUCAGGGAAUGAACGCCGGCGGUGUGCCUAAUACAUGCAUGUCGAACGCGUUGGCCCAACUGAUUGCCCGAUGCUUGCAUCAGAUUGACGUUUUAAUUUCUAAUGAGUGGCGGACGGGUGAGUAACACGUAGGUAACCUGCCCAGAAGCGGGGGAUAACAUCUGGAAACAGGUGCUAAUACCGCUUUAACAAUUCAAACCGCAUGGUUUGAAUUUAAAAGAUGGCUCUGCUAUCACUUCUGGAUGGACCUGCGGCGCAUUAGCUUGUUGGUAGGGUAAUGGCUUUACCAAGGCAGUGAUGCGUAGCCGAGUUGAGAGACUGAUCGGCCACAAUGGGACUGAGACACGGCCCAUACUCCUACGGGAGGCAGCAGUAGGGAAUCUUCCACAAUGCCCGCAAGCCUGAUGGAGCAACACCGCGUGAGUGAAGAAGGGUUUCGGCUCGUAAAGCUCUGUUCUUGAAGAAGAACGUGCAUGAGAGUAACUGUUCAUGCAGAGACGGUAUUCAACCAGAAACUCACGGCUAACUACGUGCCAGCAGCCGCGGUAAUUAA